AGACCUGUCCCAGACCUCUCUCAUCUACCUCUCUCACCCUCAGCCUUAGACCGCCGCCGGAAAUCGCCUUACGGUGGCGGCACCACUCCAAAUAACUCCAAAAUUUUACCCUACAAUCCCUAUAUUCUCCUCUUUCCAAACAUCUUAGCCUCAUCCCUCAAUCCCCACUAGAACUCUUUGGAUUUCAAAUCUCAGAAACCCUAGAAACCUAACUUUUUCCUUUUCUAAUUCUUUAACAAAUUCACUCGUUUUGACCUAAAACUUACCUUGGUCAAUUGUUCUUAACAAGAACAAUUGAUUAGUGUUAGUUUUGGCUCAUUUCAAAGCCAUCAGAGUUCAGCCAAUUUGCUUUUGAUCGGCCAGAAGUCCAAAUUGUUACAAUCUUGGCCGGCUCUCAUACUGCAUUUAGUAGGUAGUCCCUAGUCUUCUUCUUCACAGUUUCUUUUUAUUUUUAUAACAAGAUUAGUUAAUCGUUAAUCAAUUCUCAUCUUAGGUAUUGCAUAAUUAGCCUAGUCCGUUAAUCACUAUUUGAUGUUUUUUUUACGUAUUAGCCAAAUGCAUGAUUAGUUUAGUUGAUUAUCUUGAAUCUGAAAUUGUUCAUCUAGUUUGCCAUGUUAAGUUUGAACUUGUUUGAUAAUUGUGAUAUAGCAUUAAGAACAAUUAGGUCACCGAGGUUGGGGGAAUUAAUUGGCCGAACCUGGGUCAUGGGCAUGUUGGCUAAAAGCUCAGGCAGAGUUUAAUGGUUAAUUGUGAUUUACAAGACUAAAGGGGGUCACUUGGAUAAUUAUUUUUAAAAGAAUCUUGAUGUUAUUUGUUAAAAAGGUUCUAGAAUGGAAUGGAAGGUUUUAAAAUGCAAAAGAACAAGGGAAUUUAGGUAAAUUUGGGGUAAAAAGAGAUAGUUUCAUAACUUAAAAUAUAAAGAAAAAUAUCGAAAGGGCACGACUGUUAGAAAAGAUGCUGAAAAUAGGACAGUUGUCCAUUUCAGUAGCAAAAAAGAUGCUAUUUUACUGAAUUUUAGGGAGGGCUGACAGAUUCUCUUCUAAAACCUCACUCAUGUCUAUCUUAAUACACUCUCCCACUCUAUAAAAGAGACUAUACACCCCGCUCACACACACACGUUAAUUAAUUCCUGCAAAAAAAAAAGGCAUACAAAUAUACUCCCUCAUCUGAAUUUAUUUUCCUCAAAAGAAAAACACUUUGAAAAUUCCAAUUUAAAUCCAGAAAACCAAAAAAAAAAGUUAUUGUUCCUGCUGCCGUUUUGUUUCUGCUGUUGGUUGAGCUGCAACUUGUGAAGUUCAGAUUUCUCUUAGUUUUUCUUGUUGUGGUUUCUCUGCUAAAAGGUGCGUUUAUCCACCCUGUUAGUUUUACUUGAACUAUAAAUGAAGUUGGAUUGUUUAUGUUAUACUCUUGCAAUGUUCUUGGAGUUUUCAGCCUGUUUAAAGUCUUAAAUCUAAUUUAGUUUUUUCAUCUUUGUUAAUUUGUGCAAUGAUUGGAGUGUUAAGACAAUGGAAAUGGUCUAUUGAUGUUCAGUAGUUGAUAUAACAUGCUAUUUGAAUGUCAUGCUGUCUUUUCCUUUUCUUUUCUUUCUUCCAGAAACGUUGUUAUUCUUGUUCGAUUUAUGAGUAGCAUGAGGCAACAAUUAUUAAAUGUUUUUUGGUUUUAAGGUUGAAGUUGUUGUUUAGAUCAUGCAGACUUGGCAGUAGUUUAACAGGAGCUCUACUAUAGUGUUUUGUAUAUGAAGUAUAUAUAUUUGUGUUAAUUUGAGGAUGUGAAAGUUGUUUGCUACUGAUUACCUGGCUGUAGUUUGCAGAUCUGACCAUUAGUUGGUUAGAUUGGUAAGCUCUAAAGCUAAGGAAGAGAUUUAACGUCUCUGGGAAAGGAGUUUUGAGCUGAAGAUUUAAUCAAAUCAUGCAUUAGUUUAGUUGUUAUUGUAAAUGACUUUUGUAUACAUUAGAAAGCAGUAAUUAUUAAGAAUUGUGAUUGAAGUGGCCAGAACUGUAAAUGUCAGAGUUUAGGUAGUCUUCUUUUGAAGUUUUGAAUGUCAACGAUUUUCUUUUCUGUAUAUUUGUUGUGUUAGAUUUUUGUUUCGUAUGGAAAACUCUGUAUCUAAGCAGGUGUAUUAGUUGAUUUUCAAAGGGACUGUUUAUGUAAUUGUCUGCAAUGGAGGCCAUAAUCUUUUAUUGAGUUAUAUAAAAUUGGAAUUCCA
rnacentral:lncRNA from 1 species